GGAGUGCGGUCGCAAGAUUAAAACUCAAAGGAAUAGACGGGGACCCACACAAGCAGUGGAUCACGUGGUUUAAUUCGACAAUAAACGGGGAACCUUACCCAGACUUGACAUCCUAGGAAUUCUUUAGAGAUAGAGAAGUGCUUUUAUUAGAGCCUAGAGACAGGUGCUGCAUGGUUGUCGUCAGCUCGUGCCUUGAGGUGUUCGGUUAAGUCCGUUAACGAGCGCAACCCAUGUCAUUAGUUAUUAUGUCUAAUGAGACUGCCUUGGUUAACAAGGAGGAAGAUGUGGAUGACGUCAAAUCGGCAUGGCUUUUACGUCUGGGGCUACACACAUGAUACAAUGGUCUAUACAAAGAGUAGCAAUAUAGUAAUAUGGAGUAAAUCUUAAAAGUAGAUCUCAGUCCGGAUUGAGGUCUGAAACUCGACCUCAUGAAGUUGGAAUUGCUAGUAAUCGUGAAUCAGAUAUGUCACGGUGAAUAUGUUCCUGGGUCUUGCACACACUGCCCGU
rnacentral:rRNA from 1 species